rnacentral:rRNA from 1 species
GACGAACGCUGGCGGCGUGCUUAACACAUGCAAGUCGAGCGGUAAGGCCCUUUGGGGUACACGAGCGGCGAACGGGUGAGUAACACGUGAGUAAUCUGCCUUUGGCUUGGGAAUAACUUCGGGAAAUCGGGGCUAAUGCCUGAUGUUUACUGUCUGCUGCAUGGUGGGGUGGUGGAAAGUAUUUUUUGGCCAGGGAUGAGCUCGCGGUCUAUCAGCUU